GAUGAACGCUAGCGGCAGGCCUAACACAUGCAAGUCGAGGGGCAGCACGUCUUCGGAUGGUGGCGACCGGCGCACGGGUGCGUAACGCGUAUGCAACCUACCUCUUACAGUGGGAUAGCCCAGAGAAAUUUGGAUUAAUACCGCAUAGUAUACAGAUUCAGCAUUGGGACUGUAUUAAACAUUUAUGGGUAAGAGAUGGGGCAUGCGUUCUAUUAGUUAGUUGGAGUGGUAACGGCACCCCAAGACAGCGAUAGAUAGGGGCCCUGAGAGGGGGAUCCCCCACACUGGUACUGAGACACGGACCAGACUCCUACGGGAGGCAGCAGUGAGGAAUAUUGGACAAUGGGCGAGAGCCUGAUCCAGCCAUGCCGCGUGCAGGAAGACGG
rnacentral:rRNA from 1 species